rnacentral:misc_RNA from 1 species
CUAAGGAGCAUCUGCACUGCUCGCUUCGUAGAGUCGAAGGUCGAGAGUGCCAGAGCCGCUUAUGUUCCCGAAUGUGGAACUGCGGAGCUCAUGGGUGGAACGCUGACAUGUGCCGGCAUCAACUUCACUGCUGAGUCAGUGGGGCGCCGGAUGUAGUCGACACACUGUUGGGUCCUGAAAGAACAGACGUUCUUUCCAGGCAAAAAUACGACGAAAUCUUCUUCGCGGACAUACCGCAGGGUUUCUCUGGCUGGUGCCGCAGGAGCGAGAAGGUUUUGUGUGUUGUUUGAGAACUGCACAGUGGACGCGAGCAUCUUUGUUAGUAAGUGUGUAAGAGCGUAC